GGUCUGGGUGCCUAGAGUGGUCCUUUAACACAGUAUAUACAUUUGGUUGCCUGCGCAGAGGCGGAUUUGUCUUAGCCUGUUUUUUUGUUCACAGUUGGUUGCUUUGUGUUUUAUACUCUUAUGUACUGUGUUGCCCUUUUAGUUCGGUUAGAGCGUUAAGUAAGUGUUUUGUGUUAACUGGUGUGUGCAAGUGCUGAGUGUUUGCUGGUUAGUAAAUGCAAAUUGUCGCCUGUGCAGAGGCAAAUUAAUCAGCUUGCUAAAUAGAGUCAGACAUUAAGCAAUAAUCAAAAAUACAAAAACUUUUCCAACUUUUAACAUAAGGAGCAUAUUUGUUUUUAGUCUGCUGUGCAUUAAUAUAUAACAAAGCUAUUUGGAUAUCAGGUUUACAGUAAUAAGCGACUGUACAGUCUAUCAUGCAGCAGUCAGCUAUUAAGUAUGCAUCAGUGGACAGUAUCAACCUUUGGCCCCUAGGGGCAUUAUGGCAUAAACUGUACAUUCCUUUGGCAUUUUAAACCAGCAUCAUAUAAUCAAAAUAGGUAAAAACUUAAAAAAUGAAUGCAACUUUUAAAACACAAAUGCGAGCUAUCAAUCGACAGGGUGGCUCUGUCAGUCCCCAUGUCCGUCUGGGGGAAUCUCUCAUGGUGCUGCUUCCACAUUGUCCCUGGGGUGCCUGGCCUCCUUCCCUCACCUCCACGCCGAUCUCCGCUCACUGGUCGGGUCCCCCACAGUUCCGUGGGCACUUGGGAGCUUAAACUGUCUGCUCCCUGAACCUCCCCGGCUCUGCGUGGGUCUCUUGAGGAGUGUGUUCCUGCGUCUCACCCGAUGCCAGCCACAUGCUUGGAUCCGGUGUCCGCCCCCCACAACCACUGGUCCGUCAGGGGUGCGGCGCAGUCCAGCCCCACCGCGCUCACGGCGCCAGGGACUGGGCUUUCUGGGGACCCCGGACCCAGAUGCCCGGGCACUCACCUCUCCCGUGGUCGAGGCCAUGGCCUGGUUGAUCCGUCCGGCGCCUGGCCCUGCCCUUUUGGUGCUUCUCCUUCUGGGGUAAGUCUUCGGGUGGGCUGUAUUUGUUGCCUUUGCCUAUUUAGGCGGCCGGCUUGGACCCCGCCCGGUAUCUUCCGCCCCGGAGUGUGCCGCCGCCAUGUGGCCUGGGUUACCCCCCCCCCAGCCGGGUGGGGGGAAAAAGGGGGGGGGGGGCGGAGCCGGGCCGCCCCUUGCCUCAGAGAAUUCUUUCAGGCAGCUGUUGUGGCCGGUAUAUCAUUGCCUCCCGUCUGCCUGUCAGUUCGUGUUGGCAGGGGUCGCCAUCUUUCAUGCGCGUGAUGGUGCAAAGGCCUGCUUGUUUGCAGUGUUCCUGGCUUGAGAUCUGCCUCUGUUUGGGAUCCCCAGGAAGCUUGGGUGCUGCUUGUUAAAUGUGGAUCAGUCAAAUCAUUUUCAGGGUGUUAUCGGCGCUUAUUUUGCAUUGUUUUCUGGGCUCAGGCCGGGAGGCAUAGUGUUUUGCUGCCUCUCAGUUCAGCGGCCCGGCCCCGCCUAGUAAUAUUAAAG